rnacentral:rRNA from 1 species
GUAAGCUACUAAGAGCGAAUGGUGGAUGCCUUGACUGGUAAAGGCGAUGAAGGACGUACUAGACUGCGAUAAGCUACGGGGAGCUGUCAAGAAGCUUUGAUCCGUAGAUUUCCGAAUGGGGCAACCCAAUGUAUAGAGAUAUACAUUACCUAUAUAGGAGCGAACGAGGGGAAUUGAAACAUCUUAGUACCCUCAGGAAAAGAAAUCAAUAGAGAUUGCGUCAGUAGCGGCGAGCGAAAGCGCAAGAGGGCAAACCCAGUGCUUGCACUGGGGGUUGUAGGACUGCAAUGUGCAAGAGGUGAGUUUAGCAGAACAUUCUGGAAAGUAUAGCCAUAGAGGGUGAUAGUCCCGUAUGCGAAAAACAAACCUUAGCUAGCAGUAUCCUGAGUAGGGCGGGACACGAGAAAUCCUGUCUGAAGCUGGGUCGACCACGAUCCAACCCUAAAUACUAAUACCAGAUCGAUAGUGCACAAGUACCGUGAGGGAAAGGUGAAAAGAACUGAGGUGAUCAGAGUGAAAUAGAACCUGAAACCAUUUGCUUACAAUCAUUCAGAGCCCUAUGUAGCAAUACAGGGUGAUGGACUGCCUUUUGCAUAAUGAGCCUGCGAGUUGUGGUGUCUGGCAAGGUUAAGCAAACGCGAAGCCGUAGCGAAAGCGAGUCUGAAUAGGGCGCUUAGUCAGAUGCUGCAGACCCGAAACGAAGUGAUCUAUCCAUGAGCAAGUUGAAGCUAGUGUAAGAACUAGUGGAGGACUGAACCCAUAGGCGUUGAAAAGCCCCGGGAUGACUUGUGGAUAGGGGUGAAAGGCCAAUCAAACUUCGUGAUAGCUGGUUCUCUCCGAAAUAUAUUUAGGUAUAGCGUUGUGUCGUAAUAUAAGGGGGUAGAGCACUGAAUGGGCUAGGGCAUACACCAAUGUACCAAACCCUAUCAAACUCCGAAUACCUUAUAUGUAAUCACAGCAGUCAGGCGGCGAGUGAUAAAAUCCGUCGUCAAGAGGGAAACAACCCAGACUACCAGCUAAGGUCCCUAAAUCUUACUUAAGUGGAAAACGAUGUGAAGUUACUUAAACAACCAGGAGGUUGGCUUAGAAGCAGCCAUCCUUUAAAGAAAGCGUAAUAGCUCACUGGUCUAGUGAUUUUGCGCGGAAAAUAUAACGGGGCUAAAGUAAGUACCGAAGCUGUAGACUUGCGCACAACUUAGAUUAUUUAAGUUUAGAAUAUGAGAAACUAAGUUAUAUGUUUAGUUAUAUUUUUACUGAUUUUUAUAGAGUAAAGAUAGAAAUAAAACUUAGUAAAAUCAGUAAAAAUAUUCUUAGACUAAAGUUAAGUAGUUUAAGUUGUGUGCAAGUGGUAGGAGAGCGUUCUAUUUGCGUCGAAGGUAUACCGGUAAGGAGUGCUGGAGCGAAUAGAAGUGAGCAUGCAGGCAUGAGUAGCGAUAAUUAAUGUGAGAAUCAUUAACGCCGUAAACCCAAGGUUUCCUACGCGAUGCUCGUCAUCGUAGGGUUAGUCGGGUCCUAAGUCGAGUCCGAAAGGGGUAGACGAUGGCAAAUUGGUUAAUAUUCCAAUACCAACAUUAGUGUGCGAUGGAAGGACGCUUAGGGCUAAGGGGGCUAGCGGAUGGAAGUGCUAGUCUAAGGUCGUAGGAGGUUAUACAGGCAAAUCCGUAUAACAAUACUCCGAGAACUGAAAGGCUUUUUGAAGUCUUCGGAUGGAUAGAAGAACCCCUGAUGCCGUCGAGCCAAGAAAAGUUUCUAAGUUUAGCUAAUGUUGCCCGUACCGUAAACCGACACAGGUGGGUGGGAUGAGUAUUCUAAGGCGCGUGGAAGAACUCUCUUUAAGGAACUCUGCAAAAUAGCACCGUAUCUUCGGUAUAAGGUGUGGUUCGCUUCGUAUUAGGAUUUACUCCGAAAGCGAAGAAACUUACAACAAAGAGUCCCUCCCGACUGUUUACCAAAAACACAGCACUCUGCUAACUCGUAAGAGGAUGUAUAGGGUGUGACGCCUGCCCGGUGCUCGAAGGUUAAUUGAUGGGGUUAGCAUUAGCGAAGCUCUUGAUCGAAGCCCGAGUAAACGGCGGCCGUAACUAUAACGGUCCUAAGGUAGCGAAAUUCCUUGUCGGUUAAAUACCGACCUGCAUGAAUGGCGUAACGAGAUGGGAGCUGUCUCAAAGAGGGAUCCAGUGAAAUUGUAGUGGAGGUGAAAAUUCCUCCUACCCGCGGCAAGACGGAAAGACCCCGUGGACCUUUACUACAGCUUGACACUGCUAUUUGGAUAAGAAUGUGCAGGAUAGGUGGGAGGCUUUGAGUAUAUGACGCCAGUUGUAUAUGAGCCAUUGUUGAGAUACCACUCUUUCUUAUUUGGGUAGCUAACCAGCUUGAGUUAUCCUCAAGUGGGACAAUGUCUGGUGGGUAGUUUGACUGGGGCGGUCGCCUCCCAAAUAAUAACGGAGGCUUACAAAGGUUGGCUCAGAACGGUUGGAAAUCGUUCGUAGAGUAUAAAGGUAUAAGCCAGCUUAACUGCAAGACAUACAAGUCAAGCAGAGACGAAAGUCGGUCUUAGUGAUCCGGUGGUUCUGUGUGGAAGGGCCAUCGCUCAAAGGAUAAAAGGUACCCCGGGGAUAACAGGCUGAUCUCCCCCAAGAGCUCACAUCGACGGGGAGGUUUGGCACCUCGAUGUCGGCUCAUCGCAUCCUGGGGCUGGAGCAGGUCCCAAGGGUAUGGCUGUUCGCCAUUUAAAGCGGUACGCGAGCUGGGUUCAGA